CAGCCGUCUAGCUAGUGAGGAGAUGAAAAUCAGAUAAAUAGUCGAAACUUGUAAAUAAUAAUGAUUGGCAUUUUCUUCUUAAUGGGGGAGGUAUAAAUAGCAGGAAUGAGAUGAAAAUGAGAAGCAAAACUUAGUCUGCAUGUAAAUGGAAGAAUCCUAACACUGGGAUUGUGGAAUAAUCUCCCCAGGGGAGUAUUGGAAGCCCACAGUUUAGGACCUGAACAACCAGACAGAGAAGGAGUGCAAGAAACUGCAUCAUGGGGAAUGCCUCUGCCUUUUGCAGAGGUUAUUUGAUUUCACCUGGCUUCUUCCAGAAAGAAAGUUAAGGAUUGUAAGGUCCUUUGCAUUUAGCCUCAGCAAGGGGCAACGGGAGGCCCGCUGGGAGACAGCAAGAGCUGAACUGAGCUGAUCUGCUCCAUUUCUGUACGGCCCUGAGGGCAAGGAGCACAGGACGGCCAGCUGCAGCCUCUGAUGGCUGGUACCCACUGCCCAGGGGCUCUGCAAUAGUCUAGAGUUUGUGUUCUAGUCAUUUUCUUACCUGUGGUUAGAGUUAUUCAAAGAAGACACACUCUAACUGAAACUUGAAGUUCCCUGCAGCUAAUCCAGUACCACCUUGCUUGACUGAGAAUCCUGAAAAUGCUUAAAAUAAACGUGUUUUUCAAGGUGGACAAGGCUGCCUUUCUACAACAAAUGAGAACAAGAACAAGAAGUCUUAGCCUUGAUGAAUAAAACUGAAAAACAAGGGAAGCUGUGUCAUAUAUUACUUCACUCUCAAUGAAAAAGCAACAGCUUGAAAAAAAAAUGGCAUCUUUGAAACCCAUGGAUUCCCAGAUACCAGAAUCAGGACAGGAGGCCAAGCAUUCACAGGAUGUCCAGGAGCCCACGAUUUUUCCAGUCAAACUUUUUCAAUCCUCCUGAAGAAGAUGGCUGCAACACAAGUUGGCCAAGCAUGUUUUCAGAUCAGCAUGGACAGCUGUGGCUUUAAACAAUGGCAACCAUUGUUAGGUCAAUUUUAAAGUUACUCUGGCUUUGAAUGGAUCUGGGAUGGAUAUACACCUGCACAGAGGGUCACUGCAAGGCCAAACAUCUGCCCCUGACACCAUUUACACAGGUUUUGCUUGCCCAGUACACAAGACAGAAUUCAACAGUCACAGAGGACACCUCUUAAACUGCUGGAAUAAAGCUGUAACAUGUUGCUUAAACUGUGGCAUACCUCAAAGGCAGACCUUUCCCUCUUCCCAAGUUGCACGCCAUGCAGUCCUGCAGUCCCCUCACACAUAUUGCACAAGUGUUUCUAUGGCUUGAGCCCACAACCUUCACACACACAAGCGCUCCCGAAGACUUCCUCUUCUCUGUAAUCUCUACUCAGAUCCGGGGUCCUGCCUGCAGUAACUGCUCCAGAACCACUUCAGGGUUGGCUCUCGCUGGGCCCCCCACUCUUGUCCAACGUGAGCCCAGCAGCAGCAGAGCUGCAAAGGAUACUCCUAUUGUGGUACAUAUCCUUACUGGGACAGCUUUCCUCUGAACAGCCUUUAGGCUUUGAAGUCGCCCCAGCCCUUACCAGCAACCUGCAGAGAGCUUUGGGGACUGACCUCAAUUGCUUCCUGCACAGAGUUGGACUCCGCUCUCAAGGACAACUUUGGAGAGCUUACAGUAAUUUCAGCAAAGGAUGCACUUCAGGAUCCUUAAUAAAGCUUUCCUGGCAAGUUGUUCUUCUUCUUUUUUUUCUUUUUUGUAAGGCAAUACUCUCUAGCUUUCCUGGGCCUGGACUGCCCAAUUACUUGCUGUACCAAGUUACGUGCUUGAGUUUCAAAAUAUAUACCAAUCUCUGGUUUC
rnacentral:lncRNA from 7 species